rnacentral:sRNA from 1 species
ACCAUAGUGAUGCCUCAGGGUUAGCCCGA